rnacentral:rRNA from 1 species
UACGUAGGGGGCAAGCGUUGUCCGGAAUCAUUGGGCGUAAAGAGCGUGUAGGCGGCCCGGUAAGUCCGCUGUGAAAGUCCAGGGCUCAACCCUGGGAUGCCGGUGGAUACUGUCGGGCUCGAGUCCGGAAGAGGAGUGUGGAAUUCCUGGUGUAGCGGUGAAAUGCGCAGAUAUCAGGAGGAACACCGGUGGCGAAGGCGGGUCUCUGGGCCGGAACUGACGCUGAGGAGCGAAAGCGUGGGGAGCGAACAGG